GUGGGAUUAAUUACAAAUUAACUCUGCUUCAAUUAAAAUUAGAGAUAUAAAUGGAACGAUUGUUCCUCCAUCCUACAUGAUACAAUCUUAAGGUUAAUUAAGUUAGAACCACACAUGGUAUAUAAAUAACUUGAUUGUUGUCAACGACAGAAUCACAUGGUCAUCCUGCAGGAGAAAUUAUACCCGCUAUUAUUAUGAAGAAUUACGUUGUUAUUGGAGCAUUUCUUUCACUUUGUAUUGUAAUACAAGGU
rnacentral:lncRNA from 1 species